GUUUGUGCUUUAGGGUGUACACCCUAAUGCAAUAGGCUGCGCACUCCUAUGCUCUCACCUAAUGCAAUGCCAUAGGAAAGCAUUGGGAGGCUAUUGCGCAUGCCUAGCAAAAUGCUGCGCUACAGCAAUCAGCAUUUCCUACUAGAGACACUUUAAAUCACUGGGGAAUGUGCAGCGCCUCGAUGCAGAGUGUGGAGACAUUUAACGCCAGUGCUGUACACUGUGAGGUGUUACUAGGCAGCCAUGUUAACACAGCCUUUUCUGAAAUGGCAACGUUUACAGUGCUCAGUGUGCAGUGACAGGCUAUAGACACCAGAACCACUACAAUAAGCUGUAGUUGUUCUAGUGACUAUAGUGUCCCUUUAAAGUUAUGCAAUUGUAAAGGCUUAUCCAGGUAUCACAGUUUUUGCUUUCUGUUUACAUUGUAUAACUACCUGUUUGACACGUAACUUAUCUGAUAUAUUCUACUGAACUUUCAAAGCCAUUUGAACUGUGCCCUCAGAGUUCAGGAAGUUUUUCUUUACCAU